CCUGAUCUGAGUGCUGUCCCUCCAACAGCAGCUCUUGUGUCUCACUUGUCGCAGCAUGAAAACUCAUGGUUUUCUCAGUUUCUGUCUUCUAAACAUUAUUUUAAAUAGACCCAGCUGUACUUGGGUAUUUGUUUGAUCUUGUCACCAGCUCUGUUUAUUAGCUGAUGGAACCAAGCCCUAGGCAGUAUGAGCUCAAACAAUAAAGGAGCUCACAUACCUAUUUAGCCUCACCCAAUCCUGUGCUUUACUACAAAUUAAAAUAGAUAGGUUUCCUUUGUGAGUUAAGCAGCAGGUGCAAUUCACAUUCUUUUAGCCAGAAUAAUCAUUCUCUUUAGAAAACUUUUUAAAAAUGUUCUUGUAAAAGGUUCAGACUUUUUUGUUCUCAUCUCUUUUAGGAACACAUGAAGGAGAUUCAGGCAGAGGAGGAAAAAAAAACAAGGAAGAAGCUCAGGAGAAACAGAAAUAUCCUGAGUCAAGAUGCCAGCCUCUCCUGCACCCCAUGCUCCAGAUGCUGGUCUGCUGAAUGAUGGCUGUAUCUGCCCUGAGGACAUUGCAAACCUCACUCCCAGGUAUAAGCUGCUGAUAUAGCACCUCCUCCUUUAUGUAUUUCUGUCUGUGGAAAGAAAACCAGGGAAGUAGAAGGCCAGAUGGAGUGGUGGUGACUUUCCACCAGAUCCCUGAACAAUAACCCAAGAAUCAGAUGUUGGGGCUCACUGUGAAGUACUCAUACCACAAAGCAGAGGUUCCCUAGGCACUGAAGUGACUUUAGGAACCAACAUCAGUAAACAGGUUUUUGCUUGAAUAACUGGUGAGCUUCUCACAUCAUUACUGCACUUCAUGCCAUGACAUGGCCUAAAAGAACUUGGCAGUUCUCACCUCUUAGGGAGGAGAUCUGGACGUUCCUCUCCUUGAAUCCUCUUCUAACCCUCUUUUUCCUUCCAUGAACCUUCCUCCUGGUUUAAACUCUCUGUUGAAAAUAGAGAAGUUAUUUGUGUGAUGUUUUUCUUUGCUACUUCUUCCCAUAAAGAACCUAGCCCUGGGGAAGUUCACGUGUGGAAGGAGCUCUGGGCUGCAGCCAUGGCCUGGGAGCCCCACUCACACAGUUUGCACAGGUUGGUAUAUUUUGAUUUUUUUGUGUGCACCCAAGAUACUCAGAUCUGGAAAAUAACCACUGAGCAUACAAAGUAGGUCACUUCAUUAAUGCAAUGGUGUGCACCUGCUAACUGCAGUAAAAGAGAUCUUCAUAUAUUACUACUGAACCUGGCAGCAAUUAAUAGACCAAAUGACUGAUCUUCAGAAGCGUGAACAGACAAAUGGUUUCUCUGGCUGCCUUUAUACUUUCUGAUCAGCUUAUUGUUGAGGCACAUUUUUUGCACAUACCCACUUGCAUUCAACCUUUCUGCACUUUUGGUGGUUCAUUGCAGUAUGUUUGGAAGUAGCUAAACCUAUGCUGGUAUGAAGAGGCUGGACAGCAAGUCCUAGAAAUGACGCAGAUGUCAGCAGCACCCAGCUGGCUUGACCCAGCUCAUCCAUACCUUCCAAAUAUGCCUUCAGAGGUAAAUAGAGACACCUGCCUGUCUGGGAGGUGUUAAGUGGUGCUAGAAAGAGGCUUGAAAUUGCCCUUACUGAGGGGAGCAGCUUUAGAAUGGUGUCCUGGUUGGGCACUUCUGUGUGUCAGGAUACCCACUGGAUAGAAAGGUUUGACUUCAGAGUGGAAUGGCAGUGUGGACAGGACUGCUGCUAAAGGCUGUGCUGAAGGUCCAGGACAUGACAUGUGCUACCUGCUUACUGAAACAAGAGGUAUGUGAGGUGGUGGCCAGCCUACUGAAAUGCUGCUUAGAGCUUCUGCGAGCUUGGACCCUGUGAUCCACAAAGACCAAAUCUGAAUUUUGAUGAUGAUUUUAUAGCUUGGGGAGAUGUAAUCUGUAGUCUUUCUAUGUGGAGCUGCUUGCAAUCCUAUUCUGGUAAACUUUGUUUCUAAUAACAGAGUAAUUCUAAGGCUGUUAUAGAAAACAUAAGCAGUGAAGAUCUUCCAGGUGACACUUAUGUAAUGAUUGCACUUUAAAACUAAUGUAUGGAUUAGAAAGAACAUAUUAGUUCAAACACUUUGCAGUCAUCUGAGUCUCAGUAUCAUGAUAUUUUUGAAAUAACAAGGGCUGUCUGUGAUGUUCUGGCAAACCUUUCCUUCCCUGAUCCUUGUUUCAUAGCUCAGCUGUAUCUUGUCACGAUUGUAGCCUAUGCUAAGGGGCUAAUCAAUAGCCAGGGGAAACAGACUGAAAGGUCUCUGGAACAGCCUGUAAUGCUACUAAUCUUUUAGAAUAAGGACCCAAUUUUGAAGAUGUAUACUGCUGGAGUAACUGUUUGCUCCAGUAAGUUACUCUGCAUUUCUAUCAUUUGAAUGAUUCCCCUUAUAUUCGCGGGUGCUUCGCCAGGCAACACUACUGUGCUUUAUAAAUAAGAGCACAUAACAGACAGUGAUUUUAUCCUUAUGCUCUCUUAUGAGGAUUUUAUUUUCUAUUAAGUUCAAAGCAGUUCUGGAUAGGUAAAAAGCUUUGUGCUUCAGAUUCAUUUUUUCUUUAUGCAACUGAAAUUUUUCAUCUAUAUCAAGUCAUUGUCCCUCUCCAGUUCUUCCCAGCCAUCUCCUCUAGCUGCUCCUUUGUACUUCAGUCAAUGGGAGCUUCAUCAGCUCAAACACGUUAGGAAUUAAUGAGAGCAAGUAUGCUAUGAAAAUUCCCAUUAUUUCCUGAGAGAAGCAUCCAUCAGAAAGAAAGAAAAAAAAAAAAAAAAAAAGGAGAGAGGAAGGAAUCAAGUGUACACUGGGUAAAACAGGGAAACAGACAAGUGUGAGGGGAAGAUUUGUUAAACUUGCAUUCCACUCAGUGGAAAGAGAAUGCUGCCAAGACAAGCUGUAUCUGAAAUCAGCAUGCAGUGCUUUGGGAUGGUGAUUGUCAGUCUGCUAUUUCCCAUUUUGUUUAAUUUUUAAUCCAAAUUGUGUACUAAAAAUAGGGAGCAUUUUGCUGCUGAAAAGAUGUGAGUAGCAGAAGGGGGGAAAAGCAGAACAUGCAGGAAGAAUGCUGCUGUAGCUGAAACAGCCCUGUUGGGAUUUCUAGCUCUGUCUCAGUCGGUUGUGGUUACAGAAUGCAGGCUUACCUUAUCUGGGCCAUUGCGGCUGGGAGGCACUGUGGUAGUCCCUCUGUAAAAUAAAUGAUAAGUCAUAACCAUCCCUCUCUGUUCACAGGCUACGUUCCUAUUUGGACAAGAGUAACUGGAAUAUGUUAAGGAAUACGGGCAAAAAUUCACCCGUCCUGUUCCUACCUAAGUAAUGUUUCUAUAGCUACUGCCAGUCCUUUUUUGCUUUUCAUGUGUCUGAAGGGAUUUGUACUUCUCAUUAUUAAUAGCAGGAAGUUUUUACUUCUGGGGAAGUUUUUACAGAAGUGCUGGAGUCUCCUAUUUUCAGUUAGCAUUGCUUCAGCAUGGCUAGUUUGUCCAGGAUGGGAAAGCCAAGAGAUGUUUAUCUGGAUAAGAUUGUGAAAUCUUUGUUUAUGCAUUAGUCUCCUCUCCAGAGAAGACUGUGGAAUAUCUUGCCUGAAGCCCCAAUUCAGCAUCUUUUCUGAAGAAGCCCCUUAAAAGCCAGAGCUAUCUCCUCUAGGCUAAGCAAGAAAAUGAGCUGGAGGGGGGAAAAGAAAAAGAAAAAAAAAAAACAUCUUAUAUCAUCUUUGAAUAGAUGUGCCUCCAAAGUCCUCCAGUAUGAGUGUAUGCAUGUGGUGCAGGAAGUACUGAUUUCAGCAGCCUUCAGAGGUUCUGCUGCCUCCUCUGACUUUCAUGCAUUAUAUUGAGACUGUUACCUUUGGCUUUCCAUAGAGCAGCAGAUUCUGAAUGACAACAAUGCAAAACAGGAAACUUUCAGAAAUUCAGAUUUGGUUUGGGUCCAGGAUGCACAAAAUUUUGUGAUCUGCAUCAUAAUCUCAAAUUCCUGCCUAAUUUUUGUGGACCUUUACUUAAAGAUGUGUGGGAACUGUUAAGUCAGAGCCUGAACCACUAAUUGAGCACGUGGGGAAAGGACCUGGUCAGGCCUGGGUGCACAGGUGGAAGCAAUUCAGCUGUGUGACCAGAGCCUGGCUGUGCCUUGCCUAGACCUCAAUUAAGGGUUGACAGCCACUGGGAAAGGAAUCUAUUCCUGGAGAUCCCUCCUUGGUGAGGCUUUUCCCUGUGAACCUCUAAUCCUCUGAUAUGGGUGAGCAAUCAUCUCACCUUACAUUAUAGUACCUCUCUGUUGUGCUGGUUCUUCAGUCAUUGCACCUUUGUUAUAGUGCCUUUCCCAUUGUAUUGAUCUGUCCAAUUGUAUGAAAGGCUAAAAUGCAUUUUUCUGUAUCACUUUAAUUUUUUUAUUUUUUUGAAAAUUGCUAACCCCCCCCUUUCCAGAGGAUGGGAGAUGUGAAGCUUACCUAAGUUUCUCCAACUGUGCCCAGCUGGAAGAAUCGUAGUACCUUGACAAGCCAGCUUCUUCCUUAGAAAAUGCUGGCUCACUUAACUAGAUCACAAGGUAUUUUAAAAUCACAUUCUGUAUGUUUUGUUUUCUGCCACUUUUAAGUCUAAUAAUCAAUUUUUGUUGAAAGUAACCAGGGAAAACGAAAGGGAUUUAAGUGCUUAAGUCACUAGACUGCAGCUUUCUGAUUUAUGAUGACAGUGAUAGAAAUUGGCUACCAGGAGGCUCCCAGAUACACCACCUGAUGUCUGCUUUCAGAUCCUGUUUAACUUUUUAAAAAUUUAGCCCCAUAAAUGUUGGACCUGAGUGGAGUACUUGAAAGCCCUCUGUUGCACUGUCAGUUGGGGAACUGGCUUUCUUCUCCCAGAGUGCUUAGAAAAGUGGGUUGUAGGUUUUUUUGUUUUGUUUUUUAAUAUAUACAUAUAUUUUUUUUUUCUUCCCUGAUGCGCUUUGGAAGUGACAGUAAUUUUGGAGUUACAAUCAGCUGUAAGCACCCAGGGCUCAAUAAGGAUGCUCUCUUUCUGAGAGGAAGGGAUCCAGCUGAGCGCUGAGCACUGAGCCAGGCAGGGCUCCAAAAGGCAGUGGACUGUGUCCAGCCCUGGUGUGAUGGACUGCUGGUGCUUGAGCUACAGCGUGCACUACAAACCUGAUGUGAUUAUGCCCUUAUCAUGUUCUGAAAUUCAUAUAUGCCUUUAUAGCUGAAUUGGUUCCCAGACAUGACAGUAUCUCUUGUCUUUUGUCACUGUUGGGUAAAAGACAUCAGGGACAAUUGGAAGCAAAUUACUGGUGUGGCUGAAACUGAGCAGUCAGCCAGAAACUGAUCUUAAAGCUGUUCCAACUGUAACCUGCUUCCCAGAAGCUGCUCUGCAGAGGUGUGUGUUUGGACCAUACUUUCUCUGUGAAAGAGUAUGGCAGGGCUACGUGUGCUGUCUGCUCUCCUUACCAUCUCUGCAGCUUGACUUCUCCUGCAGGUGAGUGCUGGAAAUCUUAAAAAAAACCUUCCAGGGCUCAGUCCUUGUAAGUGAGAGGAAGUUAAAAGAAGGCUACUCUUGCAUCUUUCACUGAAAGAAUUCCCCAAUCAGGUCUGAAAUUCACCACAAGCGGUGGAAAAUUAGCCUGCUGUGUAGGAUCACCUGGAGCAACUGCUCCUCAGGGAGCCAGAAGUAACUCCUGAUAUCCUGAUGACACAUCAGGAUGGCAGUCCUUUAACUCUCACAGAGUAGUUUUUAUCUUCUAAGCAUUGUGGAUAUUUGCUAAUUAAUCCUCACAAAGCCUGAGGGAGUUACAGAGGUAUUGUUAUAAGCUGGGACCAGCAAAGCAAUUCAGUUGUCAUUGUGCCUCAUGCUGUGGCUACCGCUGGCAUCGGUUGGGGCAGAUUAACAUGUUACAACUAAAAAGCACUCUCCUUUUGUCCCCCAGCGAUUGACAAUUCGGUGAGGCUCUCCACAGAGCAGGAGGACCUGGGAUGCAAAACGAAGUGGGACUGUGUCCACCCAGCCUAGGGUAGUGCUGCCAGCUGCAGCCGCUGCCUGCUACCCAGUGGCUUCCGAGCUGCACCUGAGGAGCUGGGGCACUGCUGAGCCUCUGGUGGGGCUGCGCAAUGCAAUGCCCAGAAACCCAGUGCCAGCUGCUGCUAGAGCCUUUGCCUGCACACCUUAGUAGAAGGCAGAAAUAGUGCUGUAGGAGUGGCACAUGCUGCAAUUGCACUACAGAAACUGCAGCCCUCUCUUGCUGUGUCUUCCAGAGCCCUAUUAGCAGGGGUGAAGCGGCUGCCUUGGAGCAUCUUGCUGCUCUGAUAGAAAGGAAAUGUGUUCCUCUUUAGCAUAGAUAAGGGCCAUCUGUGCAUGGCUGAAAUGAGAUAACAUUUAGGAACCUCCCAGGAUAGUAAAGCUGCACUUUUCUUUGGAGUCUCAUGCUGUUCAGGCUCAUGGCAGUGCUCCCUUUGAACUCUGUGGUUUGUAGUUCUCACCACUUGCUCAAAAUGAAGUGGAAUGCAAUGGUUCAUCUACGUUAUGGCUUAGGAAGAGUGUAUGUACCAGGACCUGUGCUGAUCUGAACCAGUUGAUGCUUGGACAUCAGAGGCCUCUGCAUGGUGCUCCCAAAGGUCUGACAUGUAUUUUGCUAAAUCCUUCUGUCAAUAAAGCCUAUGCUGCCUGCUUCUAGAUGGUAAGUUACAUAUGGAGAACCGUUUUAUCUGUGGACAGGGUACAAUACUUUCUGGACCUGUUACCAGGACUGAGACAAAGCACUGGGAGCUUGGGGACCUGCGUGGAAGCUGCUAUAGCAGAUACGGUUUUUGAAACACAGUUUGAUCUGGCUGCAAGGCAUCAUUUUUCUGCACCAUUGAAAGCCAGGCUGUGUGUCCUAAGGACUGUUUGUUUUACCUAAUGUAUCUCUAUCCUAUUUAUGGUUUUCCUAAUAUCUUACCUUAAUCUCUCAAAUUGUCACUGUUGCAAUUACAUGCUUGUCCAUUACUUCUCUGCAAUUACUUCCUGUUCAAUCUGUCACAUACAUUGAAAUUACUUUAUUUCCUUUCUCUUCGCAACAAUCUGGAUCCACUGACAGGAUGCUAUUGAGUCCCACUCAGAUUUCCUUUCAGUUUAAGCAGCCCUAACUCAUUCAGCUGGCUGGCUGAUUUUGCUCAUUCCUCCCAUCUGAUGUUCUGCGUCCACCUCUGGAUGUACUGGAGAUAUUGCCUCACUGUGUUGAAGCAGGCAGGAUUACCUCAUGUGUGUUACCCCGUGAGAGAUUUGUUUUCUGGGUGUGUCACUGCUUACUGGGGGCCUUGGGAGAGGCAUGGACCCAUGUGUCAAGGGGGGGGAAGAGGGAUGGGACAGCACUUCGCAGCCUGCAAUAGAGAUUCAGAAAACGUUUCUCGUCCUAGUUUCAGUUCUUACCUCUUUCAUUAUAUUGAGUGUAGUAGUAAAGGAGAUCUCUGUUAAGAGAUCUUUUCUAUCUUCUCAAUUGAGUAAUGCCAAAAAGCAGUGGUGUUAGUAAUGGUACUACAGCUGUACUACAAAGCUUAUUCCAAUACUCAGGACUCCACCAACUGAAGCAGAUGUAUUGUAAUGAGUGAAUCAUGAUAAACUGUAGAAAAAGAGGAGUUCAGGAUAUUUGGCUGAAAGACUGAAGGUCACAUACAGGUCAGUAGGAGACUGAAUUGUAAGAUCUUGACUUUGCUUCCUUCAGAAAGCAAAUAAUGUAAGUCUGGUUGAAAGACAAGACAGUAGCCUUUUCCAGAAAGACAAAAUGAACUGAACAGUGAGAUUCAGGUAUGCCAAAGGGAAUUCUGUUGGUGAGCGGCUUGAAUCUGGCCAAUCUUUAUUUCCAAGUGAAAGCAAAGGUAUGUUUUCACAAAGAAAGUGUGGGGAGAGAGGGGGGGGAAAAAAAAAAAAAAAAGAAGGGGAAUUGCAGAAAGACAGAGAGAAGUGUCCUGGCCUGGGCUGGAAUAGAGUUAAUUUUCUUCCCAGUAGCUAAUUAACUCUGUCCUUGCUGAAACCAGGACACACAGACUGCUUAAUUAAAAGCAAAGUGAUGAGUGAUGUCCAGGAAACUUAGUAUUCUGGGAAAAAUAGAGGGGAUCUUGGUGAGGGGGUAAUCUCAAAGCGUGAAGUCUUUAUUCCAUUUUCCGAGUGCUUUCCAAAGAGACUCUGAUAAACACCUCUUUUUACACCAGUUGCUCUGUUAUGUUGCAGGAAAUGAAUGUGUUUUUAGUAGUGUAAAACAGUGUGGAAGGGAAGGUGAUUUUGUUUUAAAUGUUUGGCGAGUCCCUGCUGCUCAAGGUCUUAAAUUGCUCAUUUAUGUGUGCACAAAGAUUUCCUGUGUGCGCCCAUACCUGCUAGGGACAGGAGACACUGACUAUGGAGCCCUUAAUAUGUUUCUUGUUAGGCAGUGACAAACUCCCUUUGGUAAGUGCUUGUGUAAUCUCUAGGGAUAUUGACAUGGUGUAAUGCUCCAGCCUCAAAUCUCGCUCAGUCCUUGCUACAAAGAUGUAAAGCAAGGUUGCUCCCCUUUGUCUUUGUUUUCCCAUUUUGAAAUGGUUAUCCACUUUCCUUCCGUAGGACGAGAGGAGAAUGAUGGCAAAAGAGUUUGGUAUGUCUUUGCUCCCACCUUCCUCUUAGGAAAGAAUGGGACAUCUGUGGGAGAGUUAUCUCUGGUGGGGGACUUGAUGGAGGGUACCAACCCAUCUUUGUGUGAAGGCACUCUGCACUCCUCAGCACUUACCUCUGAUAUGCAUCCUUGGUAAUCAACAGGGGAUAUUCUUUUAAAUCUUGCUCUUGUUUCUUUUGGUGCUGUGGCGCAGGUGUUUCUAUUUAUGUCAGACAGAUUAAUCUUAAUGUCACAAAUGCCUGCAUAGUUGAUGCCCUCAGCCAGAACCUUGCAGUUUGAGAGAUGUGUCCCCAAACCCAGCUGAGGAUGGAGGGAGGAGCCUGGUACACCCCAAAUACACCUCUCCUUCCAUUUAGGAAGACAUUAUUGCUGGCAGAGUAUACUGUCCAUUCUUUAAUCAGACAAGACUGGAUAGGAGAAGUAUAUGGGUGGUUUAUAUAGGCAAGACAAGGGACAAAAAAUGUUGGUCGGUAACAGUGAAAAUUCUAAAGAAAAAAGCUGUAGAGAGAAAAAUGCUGGUCUGCUUUAUCUGUUCAGAUCUCAAGCUGUUUCACCACUUCCUAGCCCUGGAAACUGGCUUCCUCCUCAAUGCUUCCUCCUCCACCAGGUGUGCACUGGGGCUGCCUAGAGUUGCUCCCCUGGGCAGGGAGGUGAACCCCUUUUCCUGAUAGCCAGGAAUCUUAUGUUAAGGAUGUGGUGGUAAAAAUGUCAUAAAUUGCAAUAAUUGAGGGGAACAAAGACACUUUACUAUCACUUCAUUAGAGUUGCACUAUCCUUUCUAUGCUGAGCUUUUUUUAAAGACCAGAAAUGAUGUGACCAUUAGAUAAAGCAUCCAUCUCUGUGUAUCUAUACAGUUAAUUUAAGGGUGACACUCUUAGCCAGGUCCCAUCAGGAGGAAAAGGAUAAUACACUAUUAAAGUUGCAAUUACUGUAUUAGGCUCAAAAUGUAAAUCCAUAUACCAGCUGUUAUAAUCUAGCAAAGAAGGAGGGGGAAGUCUGGCAAAUAGUUCUUGUGGGCUUUUAUAUAGCUGCUCAUAACAGUGGAAAUUAAAUGAAUACAUGUGUAUGUGUGUACAGCUAGAUUUAUAGACUCUCUUUAAAAUGUAAGCACUUCAGGUCCUGCUGAAGUAGCAGAAAACAAGCUGGGAUUGUUCCACCUGCAUAACUGGCCUUCAGCUUCCCCGUGUUCAGAUAUGCUUUGCAAUGCCAGAGGGACUCACCUGUAUGCCUCAAGCUCAGCUGUCUCUUGGGACAGGUGUGGGAAUUCAGAGGGUUGACCUUUGGAGCACUGCAAAGCAGAAAGGAAGCUAAUGCUGGAAAGAGUAUUUCCUUUGGCAAGUGCUACCCCCUUCCCUGUGCCAGGACCCCUCUGUAAACCAGAGUCUUCAGGGCAUCAGUACUGGCUGCAGCACAAAGCCAUGCUUAGUAGCUGCAAUUUUUUUUCAUGUAUUUUCUCUCCUUCAGAUAUUCUUGGCUAGAUCUCUAGCAACCUACUGUAGCUCUGCUACAGCUUUGCUCUGCUUGCUUCAGCAGAGCUUUGUCAAUUUGGAGUAGCUGAGGGCGUAACACUUAAUCCAGAGAGAUGAAAUGCCUUGUUCAGAUACCAGUACCUUAUUGUAUCUGGGAACAGCACACACGUGGAAUGUUCACAGUAAGAGCUUCUCUUCAUGUGCUGCUUGCUACCAGAACAGUCUGGAGAUCUGCAGGAGGUGCCCUUCAGUAGCUGAAAUGGUACAACUGCUUUUUCAGUGAUGAGAAAUAACAUUUCUGAGCUCACUGAGUACACAUCUUCGUAUUCUAGAAGGAACCACUCUGCCUUUGGGUACCCUGUGAUUUAAUUUCCUUUAGUUUUCAACUUUCCUUCUUACUGCAACUGUUCUGUUACCAGCCUUUGCUGUUUCAUAUAAAUACAGCUUAUUUCAGUUUUUCAAAGUCAUCCUGCCUGAUAUUCCUACUCCUUGCUGCACUGGUGAUACUUCCUAAAUUUGUGACAUCAAAAAACUUACGUUAAAAUAUAAAUUUAUAUUAAGAAAUAUCAAUUUGACAUUCUUUUUGCAUAUACUUCUAAUGAAAUUGUCGUACAAGAGCAGUCCUUGAACAGUACUUUUUGUCCCUCCUUGUGUGGAAACCUCUGUUGGUGUGGUCCUUUCUUUUCCAUCAAAUCCUGCUGUUCUGUUGCUCUGGCCUGAUCACUGCCUACUGCACAGUUGUGCUGUGAAUUGCAUAGGCUUAUUUAAAUAGUAAAUUACCCGAUUACGCUAUUGUAAAUACUUUGUUAAAGUCCAAAUAACUAUUAUUUUCGUUGUUGUUGUUUUCCCUCUGGGGAUAAAUUGCAGAUAACUUCUGGUAAGCUCAGACAUUUUUUUUCCCUCUCAUAUAUUUUAAAAUUAUCCUGGCAAAAGGAUGUACAGCUGCCUGGACAACUCUUCAUUUUCCUAGUGUAGUUGUUACCUGUGUUGUUCUCCAGGGAGCCUGUGCCCUUUUAUGGUGGUAUUCAGUGUCCUGGUUGCUCAGAACUGGGAGGGAGUUCAUCCCUUGCCGGUUCAUCCAUCCCCAUCUAAGCACCUAGCACUUUCAAUUUCUCUUCCGUUAUCCAUCCUUUAAAUAUAAGUCUAUCCUUCAUUAAGUUCAGUAUCACUCAUUACAGAAAACAGAAGUACCCAUUUAUAUUUGAUUCUCUCUGAUCUUUACAUCAGUCCCAUCAGUUCCAUGUUUGCCCCUCAAACUUCUUUUAUUUAUAUAAAUUAGGAGCCAUUUGUUAUUUUAAUUUCCUUUGCAAUGCUUCACUUUCAGCAUUUUCCACUGUAUUUCUGCACUCUGAGCCAGUUUUCCUAUCUGAUGCUUCUCCCUUUCCAUGGCAUGUAAGUGCACAGAUUGCUUGGACUUUAAGUGACUAAUUUGGCUUUAUUUUGAGAGAUGUGGUUUUGUGGCAAGAAACAUGUCCCACAUGCAUUGAGCCCCAUCCGUUGGUGGUAGUGGCACUGUGAGUGGGGUUAUUUCCACUACUUGGAGUGGGACAGAGGAAACCAGAGCUUGGCAGUGCCUUAGAUUUUUGCCGGGAAUAAAUAGGUCAAUAUAUUUCAGGACUGCACUGGCAACCUGGUAUGUCUGAUCUGUCUGUGAGUAAUAGCCAUUUUGAAGUGAUUAUUCAUCCUGUUAGAUCUGAAGUAUUUCUCUAGAAGUGUUGUUUUUUUUUUUUUGCCCUCCUAACUUAGGUGAAGGUUUCUUUGAUCUGAAUGUCAAGUCCUUUUUAAAUUGAAGUCCUUGAGUUAUUUGGUCAACUUAUUUUCACUAGUUGUUUCCUGGUAGUUCAAUAAAUAGUAGCAGAUCUAUUUUUGUUGAGUCUUUGAUUUAAUUUUAGGUCAGCCAGCCCAUGCUUGCUCGCUGCAGAAUUCUUGUCUAUGAUUAGCUCUUGCAUGAUGUAUUCUCUGCUCACCAAAACCAGGUCUUAAAUGCAGCUCUCUGUAAUCAUAGAAUCGCAAGGUUGGAAACGAUCUUCUAGUCCAACCAUUGAAUUGACUCCUUGGUGAAGAGAUCUGAUGCUCUCAUUGAGCACCUGAACCAUAAUACCGCUGGCUGCACUUAUUCUACAGUGUAGGCAUUGGAUAUGGUAUUGCUGUAAAUGCAUUAUGGAACUAAUGCCUUUCUUGAUGCUGUUCUCCAGUUGCUCAAAGGUUCAAUAGAACCAACUAUUCCUUCCUUGGAAUUAUUCUGGCUUGAACAGAUUUGCCUUCAGCCUGUACUGCCUUGUCUUUGCUUUAUAACCUAUCACAGUGUGGUGUUAUAACAUCCAUCUGCCAAGAUAAUCUUUAUUUCCAUCUUUCCUGAACAGCAUGUACCUCUCAAGGAUUUGCAGAGCACAGGUAAAUAGAGUAGCUUUUAGGACAGUGCUUUUGUUAUGCCUUUCAAGUUCUUUAUUCUGCCCUAGUGGAGACUUAGUAGCCAUUUCUCCAGCUUUUCUUAACCUUAUUUCCUGCCUCAGGCUGGCAGGGAAUAGAGGUGUGUACUUUCACACUAAUUACAUGGGGUUUCUCAUGCUGAAUUUUACCAUAGGAUUCCAGCCAUAAUAAUUCUUUUAAAAAAAAUUUAAAGGCUUGCUUUUCAAAUGUACCAAAAAAAGAAAAAAAAGAAAAACAGUGAAACCUUCCCCUGGAAACCUGUUUGUCUUGUCUGAGGAACAGGAAUUUCAGGGUCUUUGUUAGGAAUAUCUGAGUUCUACAAAUGCCAUGCUAAUGUUGCCUCUGCUCUGGAUGAAGCUGGUGCUCUUAGCAUGUUCACCACAUCUUCCCUGUCUGAGACGUGGCAGAGACAGCAACCUCCUUGGGUUUUCCCCAUCCUUUAUUGUGUAUUCCACUAUCCAUCUGCUAUGAAUCACUCAUAAACCUAGCCUAAUCAUGACAAAUAUGUGAAGAACUAAUUUGUUGUUCACAAAAUGAGAUGAAUUAUGUUGAAUAAUGAAGGCACUGAUGCCACUAACUUGAUUUGAUUUGUAUAUGUUUAGACACAUUUAAAGUCAAUGGAGAAGUAUUUGCAACUUGCAAAGCUCAAAUGUUUCCUGGUUAUUAUCUUCCCUUUUGUAAUAAUCAAAUUCAUUUGCAACUAACCACAACAAAGCAACCCAAUAACAAAAGAUUUAUGCCAUGUU